UAAGGUGUAUGUAAACUUCCGACUUCAACUGUAGCAUGGGUGACCAAGGAAAAACAAAUUGAUACAGUGUUAGGCAACGUGGCAAACAAUAAUGCAGGCACUAAGGAUAGGGGUGUGAACAUGUGGAUCUGGGCAGAAUAGAUGUAGUUAUUUUUUGUGUGCGUCUUGUAAUUGUUGUUCGUAUGUGUAAGUUAGUAUAUGCAGUGUAUUUAAAAAUAUUAUUAAAAGAAAAUUGUCACAACUAUUUUCUGAUAAGUAUAUACUAUUAUAAAUAAUGACAGUAUAAGCAUGGAUGAUGAUUACCUUAUUUGCCUUAUUGAGUAAUUGAAACUUUGCCAAAGAGUGUAGUAGACUGAUAUUUCUUCUUUGUUUAUUGGACUCAUCCAUUGUCUCCUAUACUUGAGUAGGAUUUAGAUUGGUUAUUGUCAAUUACCAAACCAGUUAAAACAACACCUUAAUUUAAUUUACCAUUCCCUAGGAAAGUAAUGUGAUGUGAAGAAUGUAGUGAGAUAUUUUCAGGUCCCUUGAGAUGAACACAGACAGACCAAUGUUUACCAACACCGUUUAUAUAUCCAAUCAUGUGACUAGAAUGGAAACCAACAGACUCAAAACGUUCCUAAUGUCUGGAAAAUAAAAAUUGAACAUUUGUCUGUUACGAGCCUAUCCCUUCUCCUCCUCCUCCUCCCCCUAUUUUUCCUCCCUCUCUCCUAACGGAGGGCAUAGAGCACUAAGAGAAGCAGUCCCCUCCCUGUUGUCUUUAACCUGUCUUUCACCUCCCUCUUAGGACUGGUAAGUACAGGGGCUGUGUCUGGACUUGAAGGGCUGACUCCUAUCUCCUUCUGCCAAAACGUACUGCUAACUCAUCAUAUUAACUCCUACUAAUUCCUCCUGCGGACUCCUCCUGCUAACUCCCUCUGAUAUCUCUCUGUUAGUCCUAGUAACUCCUCCUGCUAACUCCCUCUGAUAUCCCUCUGUUAGUCCUAGUAACUACUCCUGCUAACUCCCUCUGAUAUCUCUCUGUUAGUCCUAGUAACUCCUCCUGCUAACUCCCUCUGAUAUCUCUCUGUUAGUCCUAGUAACUCCUCCUGCUAACUCCCUCUGAUAUCUCUCUGUUAGUCCUAGUAACUCCUCCUGCUAACUCCCUCUGAUAUCUCUCUGUUAGUCCUAGUAACUACUCCUGCUAACUCCCUCUGAUAUCUCUCUGUUAGUCCUAGUAACUCCUCCUGCUAACUCCCUCUGAUAUCUCUCUGUUAGUCCUAGUAACUCCUCCUGCUAACUCCCUCUGAUAUCUCUCUGUUAGUCCUAGUAACUCCUCCUGCUAACUCCCUCUGAUAUCUCUCUGUGAGUCCUAGUAACUCCUCCUGCUAACUCCCUCUGAUAUCUCUCUGUGAGUCCUAGUAACUCCUCCUGCUAACUCCCUCUGAUAUCUCUCUGUUAGUCCUAGUAACUCCUCCUGCUAACUCCCUCUGAUAUCUCUCUGUUAGUACUAGUAACUCCUCCUGUUAACUCCCUCUGAUAUCUCUCUGUUAGUCCUAGUAACUCCUCCUGCUAACUCCCUCUGAUAUCUCUCUGUGAGUACUAGUAACUCCUCCUGCUAACUCCCUCUGAUAUUUCUCUGUGAGUCCUAGUAACUCCUCCUGCUAACUCCCUCUGAUAUCUUUCUGUUAGUCCUAGUAACUCCUCCUGCUAACUCCCUCUGAUAUCUCUCUGUUAGUCCUAGUAACUCCUCCUGCUAACUCCCUCUGAUAUCUCUCUGUGAGUCCUAGUAACUCCUCCUGCUAACUCCCUCUGAUAUCUCUCUGUGAGUCCUAGUAACUCCUCCUGCUAACUCCCUCUGAUAUCUCUCUGUUAGUCCUAGUAACUCCUCCUGCUAACUCCCUCUGAUAUCUCUCUGUUAGUCCUAGUAACUCCUCCUGCUAACUCCCUCUGAUAUCUCUCUGUUAGUCCUAGUAACUCCUCCUGCUAACUCCCUCUGAUAUCUCUCUGUGAGUCCUAGUAACUCCUCCUGCUAACUCCCUCUGAUAUCUCUCUGUGAGUCCUAGUAACUCCUCCUGCUAACUCCCUCUGAUAUCUCUCUGUGAGUCCUAGUAACUCCUCCUGCUAACUCCCUCUGAUAUCUCUCUGUUAGUACUAGUAACUCCUCCUGCUAACUCCCUCUGAUAUCUCUCUGUUAGUCCUAGUAACUCCUCCUGCUAACUCCCUCUGAUAUCUCUCUGUGAGUACUAGUAACUCCUCCUGCUAACUCCCUCUGAUAUUUCUCUGUGAGUCCUAGUAACUCCUCCUGCUAACUCCCUCUGAUAUCUCUCUGUUAGUCCUAGUAACUACUCCUGCUAACUCCCUCUGAUAUCUCUCUGUUAGUCCUAGUAACUACUCCUGCUAACUCCCUCUGAUAUCUCUCUGUUAGUCCUAGUAACUCCUCCUGCUAACUCCCUCUGAUAUCCCUCUGUUAGUCCUAGUAACUCCUCCUGCUAACUCCCUCUGAUAUCUCUCUGUUAGUCCUAGUAACUCCUCCUGCUAACUCCCUCUGAUAUCUCUCUGUUAGUCCUAGUAACUCCUCCUGCUAACUCCCUCUGAUAUCCCUCUGUUAGUCCUAGUAACUCCUCCUGCUAACUCCCUCUGAUAUCCCUCUGUUAGUCCUAGUAACUACUCCUGCUAACUCCCUCUGAUAUCUCUCUGCUAGUCCUAGUAACUCCUCCUGCUAACGCCCUCUGAUAUCCCUCUGUUAGUCCUAGUAACUCCUCCUGCUAACUCCCUCUGAUAUCCCUCUGUUAGUCCUAGUAACUCCUCCUGCUAACUCCCUCUGAUAUCCCUCUGUUAGUCCUAGUAACUCCUCCUGCUAACUCCCUCUGAUAUCCCUCUGUUAGUCCUAGUAACUCCUCCUGCUAACUCCCUCUGAUAUCUCUCUGUUAGUCCUAGUAACUCCUCCUGCUAACUCCCUCUGAUAUCUCUCUGUUAGUACUAGUAACUCCUCCUGUUAACUCCCUCUGAUAUCUCUAUGUUAGUCCUAGUAUCUCCUCCUGCUAACUCCCUCUGAUAUCUCUCUGUGAGUACUAGUAACUCCUCCUGCUAACUCCCUCUGAUAUCUCUCUGUGAGUACUAGUAACUCCUCCUGCUAACUCCCUCUGAUAUCUCUCUGUUAGUAUUAGUAACUCCUCCUGCUAACUCCCUCUGAUAUCUCUCUGUUAGUCCUAGUAACUCCUCCUGCUAACUCCCUCUGAUAUCUCUCUGUGAGUACUAGUAACUCCUCCUGCUAACUCCCUCUGAUAUCUCUCUGUUAGUACUAGUAUCUCCUCCUGCUAACUCCCUCUGAUAUCUCUCUGUUAGUCCUAGUAACUCCUCCUGCUAACUCCCUCUGAUAUCUCUCUGUUAGUACUAGUAACUCCUCCUGCUAACUCCCUCUGAUAUCUCUCUGUUAGUACUAGUAACUCCUCCUGCUAUGUCCUUCUACUCCUAGGUCGCUGGGAGCAGCAGUAUGCAGUAGCAGAGCAGCACAUCUUGUUUACUAGGCCAAAGGUCCUCUCUCUCAGCAGCCAGCCUGUCAAACCAGCCACCAACUUCACACAAUUCAACAUAAACCCUAUUCACAAAGCAGAGGGUUUGGGUUUGGUUCAAAGCAGUGGUUUGGUUCAAAGCAAUGGGUUUGGUUCAGAAUGUUGGUUCAAUUAAUAUUAUAUUCUUACGCCAUCACCAACAUAAAUUAUUAUAUGAAUACAGAUUAUAAAUGAUAGUCAAUGGACUGGCAAACGACAACCUUUUCUUGCAACCCUCAAUUGAUUUCCCUCUAUUCUCCCUGUUCCUAUGUGGAUUGAUCCCAGGCUGUGUGAGCUGGUCCCGGACUGCUAGGGGAUGUUCAGUGUGGUCCAGCUCCACACCCUGCCAGGACCUCCUUCACCUCUACACCAGGAGGUCAGAGAGAGUCGCACACACACCUACGGACACAGAUUCACACACACACACACACACACAGACACACACAUACACACCAUCUAAUGUAGGCCGUUUCACCUGAACUUCAACUUAGGGCUACAGACUAUUGUUAGUCCAAGGUUUGUAUUUUCCUGUACACAUGUAUUUAUUAAGAUUUUAGUGAUUAUUUGCGAGUCUCCCUAGCAGGGCCAACACAGCUCUGGACUAAGGCCUGUGAUAUCUGAUAUCCGAGCCUGAAGCUAAAGCUACAAAAACAGGAACUGUGAAUGAUCAAUAGCUGCCAAAUGUGUCGCCAAUAUGAAAGCCAUGGACAGUUUCCACUGCAAUCAUUUAACCUAUGUACCUCUCAUAAGAACUUUCCAUCCUGAGUUCAAGAUGGCCGCCCACUGAUCAUCCUGCCAUGUCACUGUCCCAUGUUUACAUGUAAAGUGAUACAUCAUCGGUGCACGCACUGAUCCUAUGAGUUACUUUCCACAGUCAGGAGCUCAGAUUAGUAACAGUUUAGGAACUGGCGUGGGGACAUUUAGAGGAGGGGUUAGAGUGCAUCCCAUAAUUUCGCAGGGUGUUGUCUGCAGUCAGCCAUGAUGGAUAUAUCACCUUCAGGAGCAAAAACAAAGGCCCAAUCCCAAAUCGACCCCUAAGCCCUGUGCCCAUGUGGAGAUCUGAGAGGAUUGGACAGGUGAAAGCAAUACGGUGAAACUUCCACCUAGCCUAUCAGAGGUCAAGGUGGUGUGAUAACCAUAUUACGUACACCUGUUAAAUCCUCUCAGAUCUCCAGAAGUGCAUAGGGUUUAGGAGUCAAUUUGGGAUUGCACCAAACAGAUGUAGCCACCAUCUUAUACUCUGUGCAAAAGAAAACAUCCAUGUCAUAUACAAUAGCUGGUGUUCAAUCUUUUAAAAAGCCUCUCUAUCAAGGCUUAAAUAAGUGUUAUUAAUCAUUUGUUGGCACUUAAAAACCUCCAUAUUUUAACCAUCAUUAAAUCAACAAUUACAUAACGCUGAUGUAAUGAUGUACAGUCAGUUUAAGAUAAAUGUUAGUGUUGUCCUUGACUCCCCCUUUUCAGCACUCACAUACUCCCACAUGUAGAAAGCUACAAUAACGCUACAUUCAGAUCUCAGUAACAAAAUAACGUGUGAGGUGAGCUCGGUCUUUACCCUGACCUGUUGGACCAGCCUGGGCUGCAGAGCCAGUUAUGUACACAGAUACCCUGUGAUUAGGACCUGGGGAACUGGUUCCUAACAACAGACUGAGUGACAGCAUGAGGAGGAAUAGCAACGUCAACUCCACCUUUCACACACUGACUAACUGGUGGUCCUGAACUCAAAAAGGACAAGUUUAAUUCAGUUUGGUUUUGGGGUGGGGAUGCUAUCGCUUUUUUUCAGGUUUUGCGACAUCCAGACCCUCAGCCAUCAAAACUGUCAAUUGAAACCAAUAGAAGUCAUACUUGUUUUUGUGUGUGAUUUACAUAGGGUGUUUGUUCUAAGUUCCACUUUUCAGUGUGUGUGAGAUUGAUAGUGAUAAAGGGAGGUGUGUGUGUGUAUCACACCAGUCUCAGCAUGCUUUCUGUUGAUUCUGUAAAACUAUAAAGUGCCCUACCUUAACAGAUCUGUGAUUCCAUAGAAGUGAAAUGAACUGUGAUGUUGUUGCACCUCCCUCCCUGUAUAGCUUGUACCUCACUGUCUUCUUCAUCUUCUCUCUCGCAGGUAUAACAGACUCUUACCUGACAGACAAUCUGGCCACCUGUGAUACCACUCUAAUUUAUAUUGAGAACCCAUGGUAUUGUGGUUCAUUUAUGUGAGCAUAAGAAACUGCCUAUGCAAACUCUCUGUACUGACUGAAUUAAAGCUCAGACACACCGGUAGGAUUGUCAAACGUUUGCCUGCCGACAGUACUUAGCACCUCUGAACAGUGUCGGGAGUCAAUCUCUUUUGUGUUCAAACAGCAAAGACCUUGGAAGUCGACAGCUUUUAUCCCCUCUAUACCUGCCUCCUACACAACAAACCCUGAGACAUACUGCAAGUAACUAGUGACACACACAUACACACAGAACUGAAGUCUAACCCAACUCAACAGUUUGAGAUGCUUUCGUCUCUCCUCCUUGUUUUUACCUCCCCAACUAUUCCUCCAAACGUGUAUUGAGUUGUUAACUCCAGAUUACACCAUUUUCCUUUACUCUGACUCUUUGUUGAACCUGUAGAAAUCAAAUAUGCAUUGUUGAAAGUAACUACCUGUUAUAUGUUUCAGUGUGAGCUGAGCAGCCAUCGCUUCAGCUGUCAUCCACAAAUAAAAUGCAGUCUCAAUGUAGUGAUGUGGGUCAGUCUGCAGCAGCAGCCCGGGGGGUUGCAUUCAUCUUAAUACAGCAAGGUUUGUGCGUGGAUCCUGUGCGUGGAGCAGUCAUUUGUGCAGCCUUUGGUAUCUGUGUGAUGCCCAGAUACUGAGAGCACAGUGGGCCCAUGGUCACUAGCAUUGUCUCAGACCCACUACUUACCUCAGCCUCUACCUCAAGCCCAGCCCAGGCUUUACCAUAGCCUGUGAGGCUUGAUCCUCUGAGCCCAGAAACACCACCUAACUCUCUUUGCAUGUUCUCGGGGUGUGAUAGUUGGUGUGGAUGAGGACAUAGCCUACUCCUGGCCAGUCUGCAGCUUAUGUGGGAGUGACUGCUUGGAGAUGGCACCCCAAAAGCUCUCCAGCAGAGCACCAUCAUGCCUGUGUGUUACUCUGCAGCCUCUGGCCAUGAGGGGAGUUCUCUCUUGCUCACCUGUUACGUAAUAUACGGUUGCAAGAUGGAGAAUGUGUUGGGGAGGGAGGUGGGCCCCAUCAGCGCUUACAUCCGUGUGGUCACCAGGAAACCUGCCCCGUGCAUCGGCCUGGAAGACAUCUGCCUCUGAGGCUGUCAAAGUGGGGAGUGGGACCCCAUGAAAUACAUCUGUAAGACUGAGGCCUCUUCAGCCCAGCCCCACAAGCUCUCUCUGUACAGAAUGUGAAUAAUUGGUGAAAAAAUAGAUAUGUUUGUGUGUUACUGAUGGGUUAAGACCCAGGAGCUGACAGCCCAAGGUUAGAACUGAUGGACCAGAGAGGAGCAACAUAUGUCAAACUUGGCCCACGUGGGUCCAACUGGUGACUGUAAAAUAUACCUGUUUGCUGUAAAUAGCCACACGUUUCUCUGUUUCCUUGAAUAUCUACCUCCUAAUAUAUUUCUGAGGUACUUAUACUCUGUCAAUAAACAUUGUAUUAUGCUA